GAGCAUGAUUUUGGCUCCCUUUUGGGAAUGAAGAAUUAACAUGGCAAGUCCUGAUUGAGUGCCCAUAAAAACAAAGCAUUCCACAAAACAAUUAGCAACCACUAGCAUCAAAAUAUAAAAUAGAGUCACAACAAUGUACUUUUAUUUAAUGCCAACAAACCUGUGGUUCACUCUGUAGGAGGACACACACAUGGUUAUUUCACAUUGUUACGUUCUACUUUGUGUGCUGCUGUCUAUGAGCCAUUGCUUCAAAGGUAAAAUGCUCAUGGAACUGAAGCCAACAGAAAAAUAAAAAACACUUUCUGUUUACAUGAUCUUUCUGAACUCCUAACUGUGAGUAAAUAAAUAUUUUCAUUUGCCAAAAUCUAAAGCUUAGAGAUUUCCAAUUUUUGAGCAACUCUUACUCUCCACAGAAGUAAGAUCAUACAUAAUUUUUCUAACAAGCUUGAUGAACUUAAUUAGUCCAUCGCCAAUCAGGAUGGAAAUAAACAGGUUGAUGAACAAGCUAUUUGAUUUAUGAUACAUGCCAAGAUGAUAGAAUGUCAUAGAAACUGAAGAAAAUUGUGUGAUCUGAUGAAAAUAAUUACAACAGCAAACAUCUUCAAAUACCUGAGAAUAAAACGUUUCCUACUUCAGAGAUAGCCGUCAGAGCCAAUGGGAGAAGGAAGAUCAAUGUAAAUACUGAGUUCAAGGCGUCAUAAUCUGCAUUUACAAACAUUCACCACUAGAUGGUGCCCGCCCCUUUCUAAAGUGAAUGGCUGUACAACAUGGCAGCUUAACCACAACCGCUUAUUAUCUAGUAAAGCGCAGUUUGACUCUAUUUAACGGGACCAUUGAAGCAAUGAAGGUUUAAAGGACAUAUUUAUAGCUUACUUAUAUUGCUAAAUCGUUUGAUUUUUACCAAGUGACAGUAUCUGACCUGAUGAGCAUCUCCUGAGAGAACUCAUUUCAGGACUUUUAUUUUAGUUUUUUUUCUCACUCCCAGUUGUGUCGCUAACAGGAAGAAGAAAUAGUUUCUCUCAGCAACACACACAAUCGAAUAAUUUUGUGCCUUUUGUUUCCAGUUGUGGUGCUAAAGGUGUAAACCAGGUGAGUAAAUGCCUCUAAUUAGUAAACUACAUGUUGUGAAUUAUUCUAAGUGGAUGUAAUUUGAAACUUUUAUUAAACUAAUAUUUCAAAAUAUGGGUGAACAGCAAAAACAAUAAUCAAAUGCAAAAAACAAAAUAUCGACUUGUGGUAUGAUUUACCCAUCGAGGCUAAUUGGUCAACAGAGUUUUUGAUAAAAGAUAAUGAUGUCAUUAUUGAAAAUGUUUAUGCAAAUUUCAGAGGAAAAAUUGUAUGAUUUUUGUUUUUGAUAACUACAUAAAGAACUGUGAAAAUUAAACACAAUUUAUUUAGUUGAAUCGUUUUUACAGCCAUUGACAAUUUACACCAAAUUGCAGCUCUAAAUUUAGACGUGUGAUAAUGAAACUUAUCAGAAGGAAACAGACAAAACAUUUUUUUUCCAGUUUCAUCCUGCUGCCUUCAAAAAGGGCCUCUAUAUCAGUCUUUUUUGGACAGAGGAGUAUUAAUCAUACAGAAGACUACACAGAUAAGGCUGUGAACAUGAAAAACAAAUAGGUUUAGUUGGGUUAGAUAUGUUUUUGAGUCACUGAGGCACCAGAGCUGGCUCUGGAAAACACUGAUCCUGAUUUAUUUUAGACUACCACCAUUUUUAGUGAUCUUCCUCUAUUUCAACAAAAGAGGAAACACAUCAAAGAUCACCUUGUCUGAGCAAAAGCUAAAGAGAUAUUCCACCCCUAAUUGGAACUUAGUCUGUUGCCAUAUUCCGCAGAGUUAGAUGAGUGGGGAAAAGCAUUUUGCAAACAACCCCACCAUUCACCUAAUCUGAUAAGGCAAGGCAGCUUAUUUGUAUAGCACAUUUCAUACACAGAGGCAAUUCAAAGUGCUUUCCUUGAACAAGAACUGCUAAAUCAACGUGAAAGCAUAAUUAAAAUACACAAAAUAAUUUAGAUCAAAUUAAAUACACAAAUUAAAUUUAGAUUUAAGAAUCACAUAAAGGGCAACGUUAAAGGGUGAGCAGUUACAGUGCAGAAGGUGCAGCAUAAGAAACAUUCAUUCAUAGGCCAGUUAAUACACAAAAAGUUUCAAUUUUGCAGAUCUUUUAGCCAUUAGGCUCCUCUCUUGUGGAACCAGCUCCCAGCUUUAGUCCGUGAGGCAGACACCUUGUCUACUUUUAAGACUAGGCUUAAAACAUUCUUAUUUGAUAGGGCUUAUGAUUAAAUUAUGAUGUUAGCCCAGAUUGGGACUAGUAGGGGAGUAGAGGGAGAUGACGUGUACAGUGGGGUCUACAGGUAAAGAUGGCUCUCCCUUGCCCUGCCUUUCACAUGCCUCCAUUUAAAGGGCUGGGUUAUCCAGAGUUAUCUCCAUAGUUAUGUUGCUAUAGACUUAGACUGCUGGAGGACCUACUGACUACUCUCCACAUUCUACUACUUUCUUCUAAAAUGUGUCUCUAAUUGCAUUAUUUCCUACUAUUUCAGCUGUUAACUUUAUAUUUUAUCUAAGUGUUUUUCUCCUCAGUAGAAGCUACGAUGGUGUGCUGCUGAGCUGUGGCUUCAUGGAAGGGGCCACAAGCUGGCACACUGCUGCUUAAUAACAUUUUACGUUCUAUGACCUGGAAUGUGCUACUACUAGUUCACCUGCUGAAUUAAUUAUAGAUUCACUAAGAUAAAGGCAAUCAAGUUUAUCUCUCAUUAAUAGAAUAUAUACUAAGAAAUCACAAAGUAGCCAUAGAAUUAGUACUUGGCAUAUAUGUUUUUCGUGUGUGUAUGGGUGUGGGGUGUGUCUGUGUGUGUUUGUGUGGGUAGGUGUUGGUGUGGGUGUACGUGUGAGCAUGUGCAUGUGUCUGCUCUGUCUUCUCAAUCCCCAGUGAGUCGUGGAGGAUGGCUGCUUAUACUAAGCCAGGAUCUUCUGGAAGUUUCUUCCUGUUAAAAGGGAGUUUUCCUCUCCUCUGUCGCUACAUGCUUGCUUAGCAUGAGGAUUUCUGUAAAGACACUGACACUAGUCAGUGACUCAAUGCUAUUUGCUGCGUUCCUUAUAUAUGAAACGUUUACUGAUUGCCUGGCUUAAUGAACUGACCUGUAUUGGAAUGUUUACUUUGUGAAGUGCCUUGAGCUGACUCUUGUUGUGAUUUUGCACUAUAUAAAUAAACUAAAUUGACUUAUUCUGAAUAAACUGCAGUUUCUGCACAGCCUGCUGGAGAUGAAUACAUGAAUGAGUUUCUCUAGGUCCUGUCUGGACAUGAGACCUCGCUAAUUGAUGAAGCUCAGGUUUUUCAACCUAUCCAUUUCCAAAGACAAUAAUUUCAAUCUUGUCUUUGUUUAACCAGAUUCAAUUCAAUUCAGGUUUAUUUAUAUAGCACCAAAUCACGACAAGAGUCGUCUCAAGGCACUUCACAUAAUAAAAUUUUCCAAUACAGGUCAGUUCAUUAAGCCAAUCAGAAAAAGUUUUCUAUAUAAGGAACCCAGCAAAUUGCAUCAAGUCACUGACAGGUGUCAGUGACUUUACAGCAAUCCUCAUACUAAGCAAGCAUUUAGCAACAGUGGAGAGGAAAACUCCCUUUUAACAGGAAGAAACCUCCAGAGGAUCCUGGCAAAUCCGGAUGAAGCUUGACCUCGUCCAGUCAUUAAUAUGCUCAAAACACGGACAGUGAGUCUAGGGGACCACAGUCACUAGAUGAUAGAGCUUGUAGAUCUGGGUGUCAUCUGCAUAACUAUGAUAGACAAUGUUGGUUUUGACCUGAUCCAGGGGGAGCAUGUAGAAAUUUAAGAGCUGUAGUCCAAGAAUAGAACCUUGGGGGACUCCAUGCCAUGGUGAUCUGCUUUGAUCACCAAUUGAAACAAGAUAUUGGGGACCUCAAUAAUCUUAUUGAUUGCAAAGGAAAAUAAUAAGUAACACACAGGUAUUACAGAAGACACUUUAGAUUUGGGACUACACUGUACACUACGGCAAAGUAUUGCUGUAAGCUGCAAGGUGCAAGGACAUGACGCAGCAGCCAUAAAACUUGCAGUUCACUGUAAUUAGGGUGAAAUGUUUUAAACGUUAGUACUGUUACUCUGGAUUGCUUUAGCUCAAAGAAUAUCUAUGUGUUAGAGUGGCCCAAAGUCCAGACCUAAAUCCCACUGAGCAUCUGUGUUUUAGAAAUUGCUGUUCUGCAGCGAAUUCUGCGCAAAAUGUUUUGUAUCUUGUUGUGCAAAGCUGGUAGAUACAUAACCCAAAAUAGUUGCAACCUUGAUUUCAGUGAAAGGUGGCUCUACAAAGUAUUGAAGCAGGGUGACUGAAUACAAAUACAUGCCUCAGAUUAUGAUUUUUUUUGCUUUGUAAAAACCAUGAAUCAGUUUAAUUUCACUUAGCAAUUAUGUGCUACUUUGUCUUGGUCUAUCACAGGAAAUCUCAAUAAAAGUAUUGAAGUUUGUAGUUCACAUUCAAAAUUAGAUUUGGGAUAUUACUUUUUAAUUUUGGGGAGUCAAUUAGCUGCUCGUUCUUGCACACAAAUCUCAACACUAAAGUUACAUAUAAUAAAAAGGGGCCAUAAAACAAAAAAGUAACAGCACAAAUCUUCCAAGCGGCAUGAAAGCCAAACCAGGGCACACAUCUUCAAUCGAAAAAAAAUUAAGAUUACCAAAAGAAAAUCACUACAGUCGCCAACUUGAGCAACGCUAUCCUUGAACCAUUCUAUGAUCUUGCAUCUCAUGUCAAGUCUUGUCCACAAGUUCUUUCCAUUUGUUUACCAGAUUGGAGAUAAGAAUGGCUAAAAGUAUUCUAAUUUAAAAGCACGAAAAUCUCUGCACCAAACUGGUAAGGGACAAACUAAAUUGAGUUAAGCUAGUUCGUGCUUAACUAUGUUAGAAAUGCAAAAGUCAAUAUUUUAAAGUACAUCUGCCGACUGAUUUUGUAAUUCCCAAGUUACGUUACCGACCUGAACCAACUACAGUAUACCCCUCAGCGUAAAAGAGGCAAAAGCAGUCUACAUCAAAGUGGUUUGCACACACACUGGGUGUGUUUCCAAUGUCAGAACUUCAGAGUAAUUUUACUAGAACUUCCCGGCUUGUGCGUGGUUCCACUUCAUCAGGCCGACAAACGAGCCAUUUUUUAGGAACAGGGGAAGGUAGCCUACUCGAAAUGGCCCGGUGGAGUCGCUGAGCAAAAGUUUUGGUUAACCCAUCCUGAUUGGUUGUAACUCAGUAGGAAAUGACAUCAGCAGACAUCAUCCAAAACAACCGACAUUAGUAAAAUUAGAAGAGCUGCUUGUGAAGCAGAAUGGAAGCAAUUAAAUAGACACUGAUCAGGCUGCUUUAAAAUCACAUUACUAAACUGUUAACAUUGACAAAUCUGGCAGAAUUCCCCCACAACAUAAUUCAAGGGUUUUGUUGUCUCACAGAGUGCUAUAAUAAUUGAAGCUUCUUCCGGUCAUUGAACGCCAACCUUUACAUCACACAGCUGCUCUUGUCCUUCAAAUGGAUUCAAUUUUGCUGUGCUUUGACAGAAUAAAACCUUUAAUGAUAUUCACGUUACUGUGGACACUUUUUGGCACUGAUCAGUGAUAUCAGUCACUGCCAAAGCAGUUGUGAUAUCCUGAUGUCUGUGUAAAGUCCGGAAAGAUCUGAUUUUUGAAUGGGGUCAAUUUCCCCGUCCCAGGAUUUACCCUGACGUUCAGACAAUGGAAACACACCUACACUACUUUUGUCAAUUGUUGCUGGGAACUCUGUUCUGUGUUAUGUCUCCAUUCAUCCAUUCUUCAAUCUGUGGUGUCGGCACUCCCGAGUAGCAGCAUAAGCACAGAAGCCCAAACUUCCCUCUGCCCAGCCACUUAGGCCAGCUCCUUUGGGGGAAUCCUAAAGGAUUUCUAGGCCAGCCGAUAAAUGCAAUCCUUCCACAUAUCCUCAUUCCAUCACUCAGUAAACAAAAAUGUCCAAUCCUCAACAAUUUUAUUAGGUGGGUACUCAACAGGUGAGGGAGGGUUCUAUGCUAGUUUGAUUGUGACAUCACAAUAAGGAACUUUUUGAACUGGCUCAUUUUAGGCAUAGUAUAUGUAUCAAACGCUGACAGAAGCGUUUUGUUUUUCAAGUUUGGAAUUUUCAUAAAGGCAGUAGAGCGGAACAUGACAGCACAAAAAAGCAGAAAGUUACAGUUACAGAAAGUUAAUUGGUCCCCUUUAAAAUGUUUUGAUUUAAGAUUGUUAUAUUUUGUGAUUGACUCCAUCAGUUGUAGAUGUUUAUCCAGAGAUGACUUAGUAAGAGUUUCAUUAGAUUAGGUCUUGUGACUCAUGAGCUGUUUACACACACACACACACACACACACACACACACACACACACACACACACACACACACACACACACACACACACACACACACACACACACACACACACACACACACAAGAUGAAAUGUAUUUUUUGCCAUUUGGCCGCAGGUAACAGUGCAAGAAAUCUAGUUUUAUUAAUAAUAGCCACUGUCCAUAAAAUAAUAUUAGAGUGCUGUUUUGGUUGUGAGCCCUCUAGCCCAGAGCUGAGUCGCAGAUUCAGUCAUUUGAAAUUACUAAGAAAUUACUAAGAAAUUACUAAGAAAAAGAAGCAGACAUUUUUACCAACAAUACUUGCAUACACCAUGACCUACUUUUGAUUUAAAUAAAGCUGAGUAAAUCAGUACCCUGUUGGUGUAUGAGUUUUUUUGUGUCUGUUCUAGGAGUUUGAAACAAAGCCCAUCUAGAAAUCAUCUCUUAUUCAAAUUAAUACAAAUUGUAGAUACUAUAGAGGCUUUUGUGUGCUCAUGUGCGCAUGACCCUAUUUCCAAGCAACUGAGCUGCUUUCCUUAUUGAUACCAGGAAAAAUGGACAGUCAGCCAGUUCCUGUGUGAACUGGGUGUGAGCACUAACACGCACACGGACGCAAACACACACACACACACACACACACACACACACACACACACACACACACACACACACACACACACACACACACACACACACACACACACACACACACACACACACACACACACACACACACACACACACACACACACACACACACACACACACAGUUAUCACAUGAAGCUAUCAGGGCCAGUUGAAGACAAACAUCACAGUGUCAGACAGCUUUCUGAAACUGUACUUUACUGUAUCAUGUUCUGCACAGUGUUUCCUGCUGAACCGAUCCUAAUGCCUAGUGGACAUAGGUUUGAGGGGGACAGGAGAGUCGAGAGCUGGACCGCUGCCAAAAGAGGCCGACCCGCCGAGCAGCUGAAACUUUUACAAGCCAAGCAGGAAGAGACACGAUUUGUGUGAGCAGACGUCCCUCUGUCACUCCGUACGGACAGACGCACUCACGCCAGUAGGAGGGGAUUGUGAGAAAGGGGUGUUGCUCUCAGAGGGUGUGCUCUACUCUUCUCGUUUCCCUUCUUCCCGCCAUCACGGCCCUCUUCUCCACCAGUCCUCCAAGCCCAGCCCGCCGCACACACGCAGGCUUCAGGUAUUUUUCUCUUUUAUCCUGCGACACCUCUCACUGUCUUAUUUACUGCUCUUUAAUCUGUCUUCUGCAGUCCCUAUAACCUUCAUCUCUGUCCUUCGCCGUGGUCUUACUCAUGUAAACGCGUUUGCUGUCGCUGGUUGCCACACCACGCCGAACUUGCCGCCAUUUUGGCUCAGUGGACGUGACCAGAGAAACUUUUCUUGAGCCGAAAGUGACUCUUUAACUCCCUGCUGACCAUCCUCUUCCUCCUCCUCCUCCUCUUCCCUCUUUGCUCUGGGACAGCAGACUCCAGUGGGUGCUGCACACAGUCUCUGUGGCUUUAGAACCAAACAGGUGUCUCUUUUGAGAUGGGCGGGAGGAAAAGCGGGCCUUUGUGGUUUCUGUCUGACACCAGAGGGUCACACUGAGCAAGACAACUGGUUUUGUGCUCAACUUGGCGUAAGUGUGUCCAAGAUCUGCUUCAACGGGGUAAAAGUUUAUGCUUGUCACAGUUUUUCUCUGCACCGCCGUGAUACACAAGCAACAUUUACUCCAGUAUUUAUUAUCUUCUCAGACUGAUUCCACUUUCUGUCACUGUUAAACCCGGGUAAGAGGCAGUUGUCUCAGAGACACGUGUUUGUGCAAACAUGUGUUAAGUUUUAUCUCUCUGCUCUCAAGGGGUGUGGCAGUCUGCUACAGGUAGUGUUUGUCCAGGAACACUGAGUCACAGGUUAUGAUGUAUACAAAUAUAUGACAUUUGGAGCAGACCUGAAACCCACCAGGCAGUUGAUGGUGUCAGGAAAAGUCCAGAUUGAUCCAGCUAUAUUAUUCAGUUUUGUGUCCAAAUAUUUUCUCUGAUGUUCUGUUGAAGCAAAGAAAAGUAAUUCCUGUAAAAUAAGCAUGAUGCACAUUUAUAUGCAUGUAGAUUAUUUUACUGCAUUCAAAAUAACACCUCAAAACAAAAUCAAAUACCGAUGUUUCUACUGAGUUUGAUGAAACUAAAACUGCAAUAAACCAACAAUUGAUUCUUCUGUUGCGCCUCUUUUUAGAACAUUUGUAAAGUUUUUUGCAUGUGCACUGAGAAGCCAACUGUAAAAUUUACUGUAUCUUAGUAUAAACAGAGGUUGGUGUUAAAAUGGCGCCUACGUGCCACGUGUAAACACGAGCAGACCCUUUCAACAUACCCCUCACAAUUCGUGGCCAUGCCAGUUUUUUCUUCACCAGCCCGUGUCUGAAAUUGCUCUGCUUCAACCUAAAAGCCAAAUUAAUGCUUAAAAGUACCAACAACUUUCCUUUUUCUUGCUUCAUAAUACGAGAGUAAAGAUUGAAUACAAGAUUUUGAUUGAUAAAGAGUGGUAUAUCUGAAGAAAGAAGCAUGAGAGAAAUGGAGAACAAGCGUUACUGUAGAGAGGCAGACAUAGAGGUAGGAGUGGGAAAGCCCAUUCCCCGCCCCUCUCUUAUCCUCAGAUGAACUUAUCGUGUUGCCUCAUAAUGUUCCUGAGCUUUUCUCCUAGAGGCAGUCAGGCUAACUUCCUGUAUUCAGCCUCAGUGCUGCUGAUUGGCUGAUAUCUUGGCUGACCGUCUGCAGUGUGCAGCAAGGCAACAGGAAGUUUCUCUUCUCAUGCAGGAAGCUGCAGCUGUUUUCAUUCUGACAUACACCACUUUGCACUUUUGCACGCAUAGCCUCGGUAACACAAACAUACACACAUGCACUUUUUUAAGAGGGGUAUGCUUGCAUCUGCGUUGUGUGUUUGUGCUGCGUGUGCAUGCAUGUUUGUAGAAUUAGCAAACACUAGAGAAGAUGUGGGCGUGUAAUAACACGUCAGAUGGGGUGUUUAAGCAAUCAGAAACAUUUAAAUCCAUGGUAACAACAAAUCUUAUCAGCAGAUAUUUAAAAACAUAAAUAAACAGAGAUGGAAAAUGAGUGAUUAAUGAUGCUUUCUGCCGUCUUCCUGUCUCAGCUUUCUGGGUAUUUCCAUUAUUUGACUUUACUUCAGAUUAAAACUUAUACACAUUUCAACCACUUUCUAACUAGGCUGAAUAUAUAGAACUUAAUGAAAUUUACAAUUCAGAAUUCCCACUGCUUGCAUACAUCAAUAUUAAACUAAAUGUGUUAAGGGGGUCAUUUGUUUAAAGAGUGUUUCUCUGAAAAGGCUGGGAACGAUUCAUAUAUCACUUAUUGUAACUGAAGAUUUAAAAACGAAGACAAUAAAUACUAGUUUAGACCUGACAGAUGGCAAGUGUUAGUCUGGGUGGGGUUACCUCUUUGUAAAAAUGGCUAGAGCUUAUAAUUCUGCUAGAUUAACAAAGAAAUGCAAACUUUUUGGUAAGACAACGUUUAUUAACCGGUGUGCACACGGCUGUGACAUUAAAAUUUGUUUCAGACACUUUUUAACUGGAGCCAUUUUGUCAUUAACUUAUUUUUUCUGUCAGAACCUAUCUUUUUCCUCCAAACUGAAGUUAUUUAAAUAGCUACCUCAAACACCCUUACAUUUAACUAUAAACUAGUCAUUCCUAUGAAGAAAAUCCAUGCUUAAUUCUAAUUUUUUUUUUGUCUGGACAGUCAUCUCAGGAGGUUCAGUUGAGUGCAAAUAUAUGAAAGUAUUCUGAGUAAAUUAUCAAUCAGUAGCAGCUCACAACUGAAGUGCUGCCUGUUUGUUUGUUUGUUUGUUUGUUUGAAUGCAAAUGCAUAUGGUGGUACAUCUCUGAGCACACGCACACAUAUGAGAGUGAGCCACGUGAGCGUUUCUCCUGGUUAAUCAGGAUGUUAAGAACAUCGGAGCGGGCACCAUGCCAAGUGGGAUGUAGGAGGCUCAGCGCUCUUCACUAAUGAAACGUAGGAAUGAAGCGUUUUUUGAAGGGUGCGAUGAUUAAAAAAAGAGCUUGUUUAGAUGAGGAUCUAAACACCGAGUCUGGCUAAGACCAGACAUCCGUUUGCAUCUUUUAUUAUCUUUUUGUCAUCUGAGAGAUUUCUUCAUCCUGCCUUCUAUUGUGCGGCAUACGUCCUCUGCCAACGCCAGCUCCCCCACUGCACCUCCUCUUCUUCCCCCACCACCUCCUUACUCCCUUGUUGAAAUUCUGCCUGGCACAGAGACACUGCCCAUUCUUGGCACAAAGCUCAGAGACAAGGAGAGACAGAGAGUGAGAACACACACACACACACACACACACACACACACACACACACACACACACACACACACACACACACACACACACACAAGAACCUGUACCAAUCGUCUCGUGCCCCCCCACCCCCCCACCCCCACGGCAUCUGUGCCAAGCAUUCAUCCUGUCGCAAGGACGACGAGACCAAGAAAGCCAAUAGGUAUUUCCCUGCUUCUGCUUCCUGCAAAUAAUCUGCUCCAGAUUUGAGUUUACUUGGCAGCUGAAUGAUCUGUGUGUGUGUGUGUGUGUGUGUGUGUGUGUGUGUGUGUGUGUGUGUGUGUGUGUGUUUAGGGGUUUGCUAAUUAAUUUAUACAUAAUGUGAGGAAUGAAUCUAACAUACUGCGCAUCCAGGACGGACAAGGAAGCUAAGGCCUCCUGUGUCUGUGAUAUUUCCGGCUUUCCUUUAGUUUGUUUGUUUAAGAUGUCUUUUCUUUAUUUUAACACGUUUGUACCAAACGGGAGAUUUCUAUCAGUGUUUGUUCAACUUUUAUGAAUUUUGGUCUAAAUUUAUGAGAUUGUGAAAAAAGUAUUUAGUGUUUUAACUUUAUUCACUACAAAGACACAUUCAUUUAUGUUUUAAUUCUUUCUGAGAAAAAACGGGAUUUGACAACUUUCUGCAAAGGAGAUUAUGAAGGGUUGAAAACUUUACUGUCCUGAUCACAGAAGAUUUUACUAAAGCAGGAAAUUACCUCCAUAAAAACACAUCCUGCUCUGUCACAGCAGAAGCGCAUUAUCAGAGGACAAGAGGGGACAAAGUUCAUGUUUCUCGGUUUACUGCUGAUGUGAGUAUACUGACAUUUAGUCAUAAUUCUGCAGCAACAGUUGCAUGGACAGUCAGAUGGACGGAUAAGACUCACUCAUCAGGAGCGUAUUGCUGCCGUUUGAGCUUAAGGAGCAUUUACUUAGAAGCAGUAGAUAAAGAAAGUGGUCUGCCCUACUAAUGAGGUGAGUCAUCAGUAAACUGACCCUUUUUUAACCAUGCUGUGUCAGAUCAUUAGUUUGUUUGUCUCGUACCUCAGAGCAGCUCCAGUCAGGGGAGCUUGGCUCUUCGUUCUGUCACUAGCUUGGUGGCGGAGGUGGGCAUCAUGCCAGCACCCCCCCAUCCUCUGUCUGGUCUUCUGUAAUCAGGCUAGUGGGGUCGACUGCAUACUAACUACAAGCUAGUCUGGACCAACCCUCAGGGGGUUGUGGCUGUAUGCUAAUUUAUGCACCUUCUAACCCAUUCCCUUAGCCUUCAAAGCCCAGGCCUGGCAUUUAGCCUGGCACUCGUUAACCCCUCACAUGCUGCUGUGACACAUUUUAACCUCCCUCCUCUUGUCUAGUUACACUUUAGGAGCUAAACCAGGCUGCAUGUGAUCAGGCAUCUCUUUGUUAACUGUCCAGCUGAUAUGACAUAGUACCCCCCCGUUUUGGUUUUCUGUGACUGAGUGCGUCGUCUGGGUCCGUUGGCUUCGUCUCAAUGCUUGGCACGAGAUCAGCUCUUUUGAUAUUACAGCUGUUCUUCCUUCGUCGUGAGACAGCAGGCUUAAAGAAAAAAAAAGUCCCGAAAGGUGAAUUUUGAAAUGUUUGUAAAUCAGACCUAAAAUGGCUGAUGUUCAGGAUGCCAUUUUGUGUUUCCCUGUUGUGUUUUGGGGGGCAGAAUCCCAGCUUUGUAUUCCACCAGAGGCAGCUGGUGGAAGUCGUUUUCGCUGGCAUCUGCGAGUGUGUGUGUGUACCUUGGUCUGGGAGGCAGCAGCCAACUACAGGGAUGGCCCACUGCAGUGAGCUGUGUUUUUUUGGCAAAAAUGGAGGAUUCCUGGCACAAAGUCGAGCGGCUUGUUUUGUUUUUUUGUUCCUCCGUUCGAUCACAUGCCGCAGUCUCAGGAAGCCAGAGUGGUUUUGCUUUUACACACCUUUGUCGAGUUGCCUUUAAUUUUCUUUCUUCAUACAUAUAUGAAUGCAUAUGCAUGCAUGCAUAU